rnacentral:rRNA from 1 species
AACGAACGCUGGCGGCAUGCCUAACACAUGCAAGUCGAACGAGACCUUCGGGUCUAGUGGCUCACGGGUGCGUAGCGCGUGGGAACCUGCCCUUAGGUUCGGAAUAACUCCCCGUCAGGGGGGCUAAUACCGGAUAAUGUCCUCGGAUCACAGAUUCAUCGAAUUUGGAUGGGCCGGCGUUGUAUUAGCUUGUUGGUAGGGUAAAAGCCUAUCACGGCGACGCUCGAUAGCUGGUCUGAGAGGAUGAGCAGCCACUCUGGGACUGAGACCCGGCCCAGACUCUUACGGGAUGCAGCAGUGGGUAAUAUAGGAAUAUCGGCGAAAGCAUGAACCAGCAAUGCCGCGUGAGUGAUGAUGUCCUUAGGGAAGUAAAGCACUUUUACCCGCGAUGAUAAUGACAGUACCGGAAGAAUAAGCACCGGCUAACUCCGUG